UUUUUUUUUUUUUAUAAUCAAGUCAAAACUCAAAAGUGAAAUUAUUUUGGAAGUAUAUUAAUUAUCAUAUUACCAAAAACGUGAACACAAUAUGUUCCGAACUGUUAAUGGCUUGAUGCAGCAUUUCCACAAAAAGAUGGCUUAGCUACAUAGAAAUAUCUUGUCGAAAAUUCAAUAUUAUGCUAAUUGAACCAAAACUUUCUUGUUAAAGACCCUAAUAAAUAUUUUUACCUUCAUAAAUAUUUUUCUAAAAGAUCUUAUUUUUAAUCAUAAAUCUUAAAAAAUAUUUUUAAUCAUAUAUUCUUAAACUAUUAUAGUUUAAAAAAGAUAUAUGAUUAAAAAUAUUUUUUAAGAUUUAUGAUUAAAAAUAAGAUCUUUUAGAAAAAUAUUUAUGAAGGUAAAAAUAUUUAUUAGGGUCUUUAACAAGAAAGUUUUGGUUCAAUUAGCAUAAUAUUGAAUUUUCAAAGAUAUAAUCUUAUUUUUAAUAAUCUUAAACUAAAAUAUUUUUAAUAAUCUUAAAUUUUAACAAGAAAGUUUUGGUUCAAUUAGCAUAAUAUCUUAUUUUUAAUCAUAUAUCUUUUUUAAACUAUAAAAGUUUUUCACAAUCUUUGAAAAAUAUUUACGAUUUAACGUAAAAAAAUUAGUAGAGUUUAUGUAAUAUUUGAAAUGUUUGAAUUUAUUAUCACAAAAAUUUACAAUUUAAAAAGAGAUAACCCCGGUUGGCUUCUUGUUUGGGUCUACUUGUUUGGGUCGAUAUGGAAGGCCAUAUAUAAUUCCAUGGAUUUGAUAUACAUGAAUCGUUUUAAAAUUGGCGAUGAAUGCGAGAUCGAUGGUGGGAGGUAAAACAAGAAAAACUUGGUAUUUUCAUUAUGUUUAUGUAUAUGCCGACCAAUUUGAUCAAGAAAAAAGUACACCAAUGGAACCGACUAUAAGUGGGUCAACAUAUUUUAUAAUACAACUAUGGAUUGACCUGCGGUACACCGCGGAACAAUAUUUUCGUUUUAAAAAAUAAAAUAUUUUUGUUUGAGAAAGUUCUAUAAUUUUUUAAAAUAUAAUAAAUAUUUAUAUAACCUAUUUACAUGUGUGAUUAGAAUGUAUAUAUAGAAAUCUAUAUAGUUAAUUUCGGAUGAUAAAAAAAAAUAGAAAUCUAUAUAGUGUUCAUUGUACAAUUAGUAUGUUGUAUGUUUGAAUAUUUCUAAUAAUACAGAAAAAUGAUUACAAUUUAGUAAGUAACAAUGUACCGUGUGUGUAAAUUACGUAUCAUCUUAUGGUCUUUGUUGUAUAUUUAAAUAGUUUUGAAAGUGUGUAAGUACUUUAUAUAUAUGUGCAAAUACUUGUGUUGGGUUGUAAAUUUUGUUUAUGGUUAUAAAUAUUGAAAUAUGAUAUCUCUUAUAUUUUUUUUUGUACAAAGAAAAAAAAAAAGUGGUGUAAGUGCAAAAUUUUGUAUGCAUUAUAUCUCAAAAGAUUUAUUGUAUUUAUUUGUUAUUUAAUAUUUCAGACAAAUAAGUCUGCUUAUAUUGCUGUAGAAAUGAAAACGACAAUUUUAUAAUAUGAGACUUUGUUGAGUAGCAAAAUUAAAAUUAACAUACAAAUUUUUAAUAAUUAGAUUCAUAGAUUAAUUUUGUUUGUAAUAACUUGUAAAGGUAAGAAUGGUCUCAUGGUUGAAACCUGUUGAGCUGAUUCGACAAUGCAAUUGAGCCAUGGAGUGCCAAACCUACCAAAUCGAGAUCAGAAAUCGAUUAACCCGAGAAUUUGAGGUAAUACAUAUAGAUUUGGUUCUUCAUUCAUUUUUCUAUGAAUUGGUAACAUCAUUUUCCAGUAAUUGAUCGAUCUAAACAGAUACCAUUGUUGCUUAAUGUGAUUAUUGAAUAAGGUUUUAGUAAAUUUAUGAAGAAAGUGAUUCUGAUUUCCAUACUUGUAUAUUACUUAUGUAAUUAUAGUUCAAUCAGCUACUGUAAAUGUAUAUGUUGAUUUGUAGAUAUGUAGUUAUACAUUCGUUUUUUCUGUAAAUUGUGUAUGCAAUCGUUUUUUACAGUUAGAAAUAUUACUAUCAUAUAAUCUGCUAUGUCUACUAUCUGAAAUAUGAAACUAAACUUUUGUUUAUAAUCGCAGGUUAUAGUAUUGUCUAUGCAACGAUUGAUCAAAGUAGCUGUAAGACUUCAUCAAUUUUGGAUAAAACAAAGGUUAGUAGGCAAACUUAAAUCUUAGUAUAUGCAAACACUAAAAAAUAGCAUAUUGUGAAAUGUAAAUAUAAUGUUAAACUGAAAUAGAAGAAAAAAAAUGAAAUGCAAGAAAACUGCUAUUGCAUUCACGCAUAACAGGCCACAUAGCUGUUUCGCAGAUGCACUUGAUUUCAAAUGGGAAGCAAGAAUAUCUGGAAAUCAGACAUGUGAUACCAGAAGCCUGGUUUUAAUACACCCUGAAAAGGGUAUUUGUAUACCCCAUAUGGAAUCGUUGCAUCGAUUUUGUUUGCCUAAACAAACAAUAUGUUUGGUAGAUCAGUUUUUGAAACACAAAAAAAAUCAAUAUGUAGUUUCCAUUGGCUUUUGAUACCUUUUCGUCAACCAAUAUCAUUUUUGUAACAUCCCUACCAGAAACCAUUGGCUUUUUCCAUAUACUUAAUGAUUUAGAUGCGAAAACGAUUUUAUUGUUUUAGUAGUUUCCAUUUGGUUGAUAUGCUUAAGAUUAUGUUUAAUACAAUAUUAGAUUGAAUAUAUGAUUUCCAAAACUCAAAUCUCGUUAUGGCAAAAUAAGGAAUUUUGUUUGAGUUACUUUAUUGUUUUGUUAAAUUUGCUUAAGACAAUAUUUUUGUUAGAUUGUUUUUGUAGGGACUAAAUGUACAAUUACAAAAUUAUAAAAGGAUUUUUUUGGCUAAAAUCCCUACAAAAAUGUAUAUAUAGAUAUCAGCAAAUCGGUUUUCAUCGAAUAGAUGAUACAACUUAAUUUCUUUCACAAUUAUUUUUGCUUAUGUUUUGCUUAUUGCAUGCUUAUAUUUUUGUCAUUUUAUGUUUUUUUUCUCUUCAAAUCUUUAAUAUUCCUAUAUACAGCUAUGUCAUUAUAGAAAGUAUUCUUUAUUUCAUUAAAAUAAUAACUGACAAUCAAAAUAAAACUUUCUUUAUGUUUAUUCAAUUUAAAUUUAUUAUUUUAAUUUUAAAAGAUAUGAAUUUCUAAACUAGAAGAUAUUAUUUUCUAAUCCCAAUAUAUAUGACCAUACGAAACCACCCAUAUUAAAUUAUGUUUUUCUAAUCCUCACCAGUAUUUUCUCUUGGCUAAACAUGUGUGUUCGUAGCUUAUUGUAACUAGAUCAGUUUGACAAGUAUAGAGGUAAUGAUAAUAAUAUUCCUCACUUAAAGUUCAACAUAGUUAAUUUUCAUUUUUCAUAGCAUUUAGACAACAGGCGUUAAUCAUAAACACAUACUAGAUUUUAACCCGCGGUACACCGAAGGACGAUUUAUUUACGAAAAGUAGUAAUUUUUAAAUUUAAUGAUUCUGUAUUAUAUAUAAAAAUUUGCAAAUACUAUUAUUUUAUAAGAACUUUAUAUAUUUAUAAUUUACAAUUAUUAUUAAGUAGCGGUAUACCAUGAAAUAAUUUUUGUUUUAUACAUUCUAUUUAAACCAAGCUGAUUCGAUAUAUCUAAUAAUCAUGGUGUUAAAAUAAUAAAAAAGUUAACCCGUAUUGAAGCGGCGAGUUAAUGAUAUUUUAAAUUUUUAUUAAUGUUAAUUCGUACCCAUCUCACCAUAUAACCCAUCUCGCAAUAUAAUCCGUCACGUGCUAUUUUUUUCUAAUAUGUUCAAAUGUUCAUAAUAUUAUAAACUCUUUUUGAUUUUAAUUCGUCCCGUAUUGAAGCGGCGAAUUAAUGAUAUUUUAAAUUUUUAUUAAUGUUGAUUCAAAACCCGUCCCGCCAGGCCACCAUAAAACUUUGUCCCAUAAUAUAAUCCGUCUCGUGUUACAUUUUAUUUUUAUAUGUUCAAAUGUUCAUAAUAUUAUAAACUUUCUAUUGCUUUCAAAUAUAUCAAUUCUAAUAUUUCCGGUAAAAUGAAACAGUUUAACUAAAAACCGAAUUAACCCGUAUACAACUUUUAAAUUUUGAUGCUUGUUAAGUUAAGGUUUCUGCUCAUUCGGAUUUGGAUUCAUUUUGAUCUUAUUUAUAACAUGACUCUGAAUUUUUGGUCAAAUAUUUUAGCCGAUGUGUGACGUUGAACACACACUUUUUCAUUAGUUGGGUAAUAUAUGUCUAUUUUUGAAAUUUUGAAUCACAAUAUAUGCAGAAACUUUAUGUAUUAUAUGAUAAUUCAAAACAAUUAAAAAAUAAUUAAACAAAGAUAAAAGGAGAAUCAUAAAUUUAAAUUAGAAGCAAAUCUUCUAAAUAUUUUUAUUAUUAAAUAUAACGUAAUUAGUGGAUAAGAUCCAAUUUUGGUAAUAUUUGUAUCCGAUUUUUAGGCAAAUAUCCGGUGGAAGAGUUGGGUUACAUAUAAUCCGAUCCAAACAAAUGUUUAUGAACUAAAUUUUGUAUCGGAUCCGGUACCAAAAAUCUCGGAUAAAUUUUUAAUUCACCCGAUAUAAAAUGUAUUUUAAAAAUACUAUUAUAGAUAAAAAUAAAGAAAGAAAGUUGGAUAGAGCCCAAAACUUUUUAAAAAAUCUAGUUAAAAACCUCUUGUACGUCUAUUUAUUAUUAGUUGUUAUCUUGAGAGUAAUUAUUUGUCUCACUUGGAGUUGGAGGCCAACGUGAUGGGAUAAUUCUCCAAAUCCGACGCAGUGGACGUAAUAUUCUCCUAUAUCUUGUUCUUGAAUUUUUUUGAAAGUUUUGGGCUCUAUCCAACUUUCUUUAACCGAAAAGAGUUCCGCCCUUCACAUAUCCAAUUCUUCCAGCUGAUUGUCAUCGCUACUGGUGAAACAACAAGAUCGCUCGGCACUACCUGAUCGUCAUCAGGUAUUUGAAUCCGAGAGUACAUGGAACCAAAUCCAGUGAGGGUCGAAACAGGGCUAUUAGGUAUAGUAAUGUAAUCUCCACCAUCACCGUCUCCGUCUCAAUCGAUGAUCGGAACAGGGGUCUCAAAAUGUAGAGCUAUCAAGCGGGUCAAACCCGCCCGCCAGAUCCGCCCCGCAAAGGAUUUCAAAAUUUUUGACCUUCAAAAAACCUGUCCCGCAAAACCCACGGGAGAAAAUAGUAGACCCACAUUCGCUCUGCUAAAUUUUGCGAGACCCGCGGGUUACCUGCGGACUUUCAAAACUUACUUUUAAAAUAUUUUUAAAGCAAAAUUAUAAUUAAUAAUAAUUUUAAAGAUAAAUACACAUAUUUUUUAAGAAAAGCCUAAAAUUUAUAAUUAUUUCAUAUAUAUAUUACAAAUUAUUUUAAUAUUUUACAACUAUAUAUUAUAUAAAUUUAUAUUUAAUUAUAUAUUUUGUUUUUUUUUUAAAGCCGCGGGACCCAUGGAUUUACCCGAAAAACUCGCAAUUUAUGAAACCCAACCCACACCCGCCCCACUUUUUUGCUUUUUGAAAUUUUUAGGCCCACAUGCUUUGCUUCAAAUUGACAGGCCUAUCUAAAUCCUCUCCCUCAUCCUGGAAUAAUCCGUAAAAGACCCGAUCACAUCAUCCUACUCACGCGGAUCCGUUAUAAUCUAUGGUAUACUGGGAUAUGUGACCCUCUCCGGUACAGUUGGAGAUACCUCGACAGCAGGGGCUGGAACACUCGAUCCCGGCUCAGCAUCAUAACUAGUCAUCUCGGGAGUACUCGGCUCACCAACUCGACGAUACUAAAACUUGUAACGUCUCGAUGACGGACUCAAAAUCCACCCACCCUCAACAAACGACCAAGCCCUCGUCUCGGCAUCUACAUCAAAGAAAAAUGGUAAGUCUUAAUUUUCCAACUACUUAAUAUUUUGCAAAUGAUCAUAUACUAGUUUCCUAACAGGUUUUGUGACACAUUUACUCGAUAAAACGAUAAAAAUAUGAUUUUUCCAUGAGAAUAAAUAAACCAUGGGCUGAUACCACAUAAUCGCUUGAUAUGGAAGGUAUUUCUCAGUAACACCACGAACUUAAUUGUAACCCGAGUUUUUGGUAAGUUGAAUUGUGUAGAGUUUGAUGAUUUUAAAAGUUGAGAGAGAAUUUAAAAGUUUCAAAGAUUACUAUGGAAUAUGGAUUGUCUAUCAAUGAUUUUUAUGAAUUCUAGUAAAAUUUUUGGGAACUCUUAUCAACAUUUUCCUUCAAUUUUAUUUUAUGCUCUUAUGGACAUUUCUUUAAGUAAUGUCUUUUCCAAAGAAAGUUUGUAAGAACAUCGCAACUUUCUUAGUUCGUCCGUUCUCUAUCAUCUACCAAUAGCUCCCUUCAUAUUAUUAGAGCUUGGGGAUUCAUUUACUUGAUCUGUAUCCUUGCAAACAGCAACUGAAGAAAAAAAAAUCAAUUGGAACGAAACAAAAAUUAUAGAAAACAAUAGCUCUAUCUAUGUAAUUGGGAGGGAAAACGGUCUAUUUCCCCACGAGAACUAUGACAUCAUAACAGAUAGAGCCCAAUCUAUGACUACGAUCUAAAUAUCCCCGAGAAAAUACUUCUCAACCUAUAUCUCCUCGAAUCGAUAGUUCUCAUCUAUUUCUCCAUAAUUUUGGAUUUACUCGGUUUACGACCUAAACCGACAUCAAACCACCCCAAAACCAACAUUAAACCGAAUUAAUGAAAUCAAUCAACCAUGUUGCUGGAAUUGACAAUCGAGAGCUUACAGAUGUAGCUGAGUAAUUUUGAAAGCUAAUGGCAAAGGAGGAAACCACCGGAAAUUACAUCUGACAUUUCGUCGAGAAAUAGACACGACUCAUGUUUUGGGCGUAGGAAUUGAAAGCGUCUGGUCGAGAGGACGUUUUUGCUCUUGGACGAAUGGGGAUCUCGCAAAGGCAGAGGAUUCCUCAGACUCGUCGGAAGAAAUCUCCGGAAAUUGAAGAGAUUCUGGUCGGAUUCACAUCGGAGUUCACGGUUCACCAUCGAAGUAGAGAGGAAGGUUUCGGCUUUUAGGUGGAGAAAUUGAGAGAAUAAUUGAGAGAAGCUAUGACUACCAAAGAGGGUCAGUGGGGAAGCCAUCGCUGGAGAAUGCCAGCUGAGAUAAAAAAAAUUUGCAUCUCUUGAAAUCGCGAUCGAGAGAGGCAGAGAGGAUUACAAGGUUCGAUAGCUUUCGGUUCGCCUGUGGAGGUUGCGGCUCGGUUUCGCCGGAGUUUCAGAGGGGUCGCCGGAAUUUGACUCUGUCUCCAUUGGUGUUAUAAGAGUUGUCAUCGAUAAACCCUAGUAGAAAAAAUAAGAGAUGUCUUCUUCUCCUCUAUUCGAGAGCAGCAAAAUCAACUUUUUUAUUCAACUCUUUCACCACGAACCACAAUUGCAUUGAGAAUUUCUCUUUGGGAGAUCAUUAGUAAUCUUAGAACUUUUGACAUCCAAAUUUUUUCAAAACUUUGCUAGUUUCCUCUCACUUUUAUGUUCAUUUUCAAGGAAUUAGAGACCUUUCUCUAAUUAAUGAUUUCUAAUAGUUUAGGGUAGACCUUUCUCUAAAUCGCAAAAGAAAAUGUUGUGACCGCGAAAGUAAUUCGUAUGCCUCAUAAAUAGUUUGAUAUUACAAGAGAGUAUUGGCAUACAAAAGAGUACCAAGCAAGAAUAUGGCCAACAACAAACAAACAAAUGGAGAGAUUCUUAUUGGGGAAUACUCAAUACACGCACUGGUAAAAUGCAGAGCGACAGAAACAGGGAAUGUAAAACCAACGAUUGUACAUGAGUGAUUAAGAAACCAAACAACCAGACUCAGAUUUCACAUUUGUUUAUGUGUUUUUGACUUCUUACCAGACUCAGAACAUGUAGACGACACUGUCGUGGAUCCUGGACUUCUGGUUCUGUGCAACACAUUCAGAUAUCCACAUCAGGUUCCUGAUUUCCUGCUCUCUCAACCUCAUAUACGCAAAGAAUACAGCGUAAUGGAACUGCAAAACUCAGGUUUUAAACAACCAUUGUUAGUAUUAUACAUGAAUUGCGAGAUGCAUAACACAAUCAGACUCUCUAAUGUAUUAGACCAGAGGUUUUGGGAUAUAAACAGAAAACAACUAAAACUAAAGGUUAUCAUUGAAGCCUAGAUUUUAUGACCUUUGGAAAGUUCAUUACGGUUCAUUUGGGGAGAGGGAAACAAACCUGCUGCUCAAAGGCUAAACAAAGCCUUCGGACUUCUUCUUCAUAAAAUGCCUUGUCAAGCAUCUGGCUCUCUCCAUAAGACAUCUUGGAGAAUAUAGCUUGAUACGGAGGGUAUUUCUCCAUAACACCACGAACCUACCAGUGAAUGAUAACGGAAUUAAAUGAGCCAAAUUCGUAAACUCACUAUAUUUAAUAUGUUAGCUUGAGAUUUACCUGAUCUAUAUCCUCGCAGAUAGCAAGCUCUUCGUGACCAUAUGGAUAGCUGCAAAAGAAAAAAUACAAACCAUGGUGAGAACUAAAAUAUAUAAACAUCGAGUGGAAAAUAUCAUUUGACUGUAGAAUGCUUCUUACAGCAGACCAAAGUUAGAGUACAAUUUCUUCCUGUCUUCUCUUGUGAGCUCAGUGCCAAUGCUGCAUAGCAAAGAAAACCAGUUUCAGAAACAAAGCUAAACAGAAAGCUUAUGAAUGUAACAUCAGCUUGUUGAUAUUGAUAUUCACUACUCUUAUUGUUUCAUGGACAAAGCAGUAAGUAAUUACCUGUUGAUAGUGAUAUUCACUGCUCUUCUAUCGGCCUCAAAGGCUAAAAGGUCAGACAUAAUCUCUGCUGUUGCGCCACCAAGUUUCUAUUUCGGAUACACAGCAAAACAAAAAUUGGGGUUAGCUAGUAUAGGUAGAUUCUAAAAUUCCUAGAAAAUAGAUUGAGAAGUCGACUAAGCACCUGACAGAACUUGUAAAAAUCCUCAAGGUAUGCUUUGUAGAGGGUGUUCCUCAUAAUCUCUAUGUUCAUGUCAUCGAGAUCCUACACAUAAUAUGAUAUGCAUGUGAUACUACAAUCAUAACAGAAACUAGCAAACAAACUGCACAAGAUUGAUUACAAGCAAAAACUAGAAUAAUAAAUACUUGAGCUUUGUACCUCUGAUGUUAAGCAUUCAGAAAAGUAUGGAGCCAGAGGAGUGUCCACAAGCACCAACCUAUAGAGUUCCCGCAUGUUCUGCGCAACUGCUAGUGUAGCAAUACUGGCAAAAAUGAGAGAGAGCAUGAGACAAACAUAAAAGUAAGAAAAGAAAUGAGGUUUAGAAGAUGCCAAAAGGUCGAUCCGGGCUACCUGUCAAACAUGCCUAAAGGGUGACAUUUCUCGAUCAACUCUUGAACAUCUCUCUCGUGCAGGGUUCCAGUAACAAUGAGCACGACAUUGUCGAUCAUAUGGCCAUAUCUGCAUACAAACCAAUUACCUCAAACGCCAGCGUCUUCAAUUUGAUAGAUCAUAUACUAAACUAAAUCCAGGGGUAAAACAAGACAACAAUCUAAGCUAUCAUUUCAGAAUGAUCAUAAUCUUUCCCUUCAACAUAGUGAAACAUAUACUUGCUCUGCGAUCUCGGUAAUUAAAGCUAAAACUUAAGGAAAGUAACAAAUCUUAUACUAUGAGAACAAUUUUGGCAGAACUAAAUAAGCAUUUCACAUUACCUGAUGUACUCUAAAAAGGUAGACAUUGGCUCAGUAGCUUGGCAAAGCAUAUGCUUGUAGUCAUCAACAAGCUUGAGAGUACACUUCUCCACAAUGGUGGUGGUAUGCAGAGGUGACGGUUCUGCGUUAGAAAACAUCAGAUUCAGAUACAAUAACUAACCAAUUGUGCAGAUUUCAAGCACAAGAACAGUAGUAUUUAUACAGAGACUAAACAUCAAAUUUCAACUCCACUUAAUAAGAUGAACAAGACUACAAUUUGACAUCAAAAUUUCUUCAAUUCGCAGAUCAAUAUGGGGAUUUGGGAGAGUUUCAAGUGCCUAAAACCCAGAAACCCAAACGCAAUGAAGCAAAAUUCAAAUUCAGAUCAUCAAAAUUCGUAUUACAACAACAACUGAGUCAAAAUUGUGAGAGACAAUCAGGGAUUAUCACGACGCACCGUUUUGGAGGUAAGAGCCGUAUUUGGUGGCAGAGAGAUGCAUCUUGAUAUCGUCUAGGUUCUCACACUGACAUAGAUUAUUGUAAUCGGCGGUGGUGAGAAGACCAGCACGGUGACCUCUGACGAUCGCCUCCAAGUAUCCGCCAUGGAUGUUGAAGGUAAGCGCCUCGAAUCCGUACAUAUUUUCCUCCUGAUCGUAGGAUAAUUCAGAUCUCAAAGAUUGUCGUGAGAGAUCUGAAGAAGAAGAAGAAGAAGAAAUCGAUACAGAGAUCGACGCGAGGAAGAAGAUAGCUUCGAAUUGAUUGGAUUUGUUUUCUCUUUGCAAACUCGUGUUGGCACGUUUAAUUACGAUUGUAUCCUUUAAAUCGGAUUGCUAAACCGAAGAAUGUGCACUGAAAAGUUAUUUUUGUGUCUCAAUUUUGUCUUGUUUUGGUUUGGUUUGGUUUAACCUCUUUUUUUUUUAAAUACUUUUCUGGGGAUGAAUGAAUUAGUAGAAAUUAAGAAAUCAAGUACAAACCGGAUCACCUGAAUUUUGAUAAAUUUGAAUCCAGAUGGAACAAAUACAAUCUUGAUAUCCACAUGGUAUCUUAAAAGGAAAAAAAAAAACUAAUUAUUAGUGUAUACAAUUGUUUGUAAACCGGAAUAAACCGGAACACCUCUACUAUAAAUAGAGGCUCUCUCUCUGUAACAAACUUUAACGGGAAUAACAGAGUUUUUCGUCAUCUUCUUCGUUUCUAUCAUGGUAUCAGAGCAUGAGACUAAAAUCUCACUCGAUUCGACCUAAAUUUCAUGGAUUCUCGAGCUUUUUCUCUAUAGAAAUCGUUCGUUCUUCUUCAUUUUCUCUUUCUUUCGAUCGGUUUUUUCACAAAUCAAGCUAUCUUUCGUCAAGAUCUUGCGAUGGUUUCCGUACAGAAAUUACGGCGUCGUACAAGAAGAUCGACGAAGGAUUCGCCUGAGAAGACUCCAGAUCGUGUUCAGAGUUCACCGAUUCCGCCAAUUCCACCGAUUUCUUCUCCGAUUCAACAUUCAUUCGUUACAAGACCUCCGAUUCAUCGUUUGCCACAAUUUGAUUUUACAGAUUCGCAUUAUUCACCUUAUGCUCUCUCUAAUGGUGAUAAUCCUGGAAAUUCUUUAGUGACAGAGAUACUUGAUGGAUCUAAUUUCUCUUCUUGGAAAAUAGCGAUGUUCGUUGCUUUGGAUGCUAAGAAUAAGUUUGCUUUUGUUGAUGGAACUUUACCAAGACCUCCUGAAUAUGAUCUGAGUUUUCGUGUAUGGUCAAGAUGCAAUAGUAUGGUUAAAUCUUGGAUAUUGAAUUCGGUUUCUAAACAAAUAUACAAGAGUAUACUUCGUUUUGAGGAUGCUUCAGAGAUAUGGAAGGAUUUGAUUGCAAGGUUUCAUAUCACAAAUUUGCCGAGAUCAUAUCAUUUAACUCAACAAAUAUGGGGAUUGCAACAAGGUUCUAUGAGUCUCUCUGACUAUUACACUACUUUGAAGACUUUAUGGGAUGAUUUGGAUGGGGCAAGUUGUGUUGGUACUUGUCAGAAAUGUAAAUGUUGUGAUGCUACUGCUUCAAAAGCUGAACAUGCCAAGAUUGUUAAGUUUCUUGCAGGAUUGAAUGAAUCGUAUGCAACAAUUCGAAGUCAGAUCAUAAUGAAAAAGAACAUACCAGAUCUUGCAGAAAUCUACAAUCUCUUGGAUCAAGAUCACAGUCAACGCAACAUUAUCACAGUUCCAAACACUGCUGCAACAUUUCAGGUUAAUGUCUCUCAGAAUGAGCAAUUUGCAGUGAAUGCUACUCGGUCUUAUGGUGCUCCUAGUGCUCCAAAACCAAAAAUACAGUGUGCUCACUGUGGUUAUACUGGUCACAGUGUUGAUACUUGUUACAAAAUUCAUGGAUAUCCUAUGGGGUUCAAACAUAAACAUAAAACUGUGACACCACAAGAUAAGGUAAAGCCUGUUGUUGCUAACCUUGCCUUAACUGAUGGAAAAACGUCUACAGCAAAAGGAAUUGGCCCUGAUGGGAUAGCAGAGUUAGUGGGAAAUCUCUCAAAGAAUCAGAUACAGGAUGUGAUAGCUUAUUUCAGUUCUCAGCUUCACAAUUCAGCACAACCAAUCACUAUUGCCUCUGUUGCAAGCUCUAGCUCAAGUGUUCCAAGCACUAGUGAUACAAGUGGUUCUGCUUUCAAUGGUAUCUCUUUCUCUCCCUCUACUUUAUGGUUACUUUGUGUUUUGACAACUACUAAGAAGAUGUUAACUAUUAACACAUGGAUCAUAGAUAGUGGUGCUACUCAUCAUGUUUCUUUUGAUAAGAACUUGUUUGAAAGCCUAUCUGAUGCUCUAAGUAGUGAGGUUACACUUCCUACUGGUUCAAAUGUCAAAAUUGCAGGGAUUGGAGUUAUUAAGUUGAAUGAAUAUAUCACAUUACAAAAUGUGUUGUAUAUUCCCGAGUUUCGACUAAACCUGCUCAGUGUCAGUCAAUUAACCAGAGACAUGAAGUCUAGAGUGUUUUUUGAUGAGGGUUGCUGUGUGAUUCAGGAUCCUACCAAGGCGCUGAAGAUUGGUGAAGGUCAACAGAUUGGAGGCUUAUAUGUCUUAGAUGCUAGUCCUGUUGAAUGUUCUAGUAAUGACAAUUUGUCAUCUGUUUCUUUGAAUGCGCAUUGUAAUGCGGUAGUUGAUAAUGCCCUGUGGCAUAGUAGAUUAGGACAUCCUUCUUAUGAGAAAAUCGAUGUUCUACAUGAUGUACUUGGUUUGAGAAAAAGGAAUAAAGCAGAGUCAGUUCAUUGUUCUAUUUGUCAAAAGGCUAAACAGAAACGACUCUCUUUUCCUUCAAAGAACAAUAAGUCUGAACAUGCUUUUGAGCUAUUACACAUUGAUACUUGGAGACCAUUUGCUACUCCUACUGUGGAAGGUUUCAGAUACUUCCUAACAAUUGUGGAUGAUUUUAGUCGAGCAACUUGGGUUUAUUUGAUAAAAACAAAGAAUGCGGUUUUACAUAUAUUCCCUGGGUUCAUUACAAUGGUGGAGAAACAAUAUCAGACACAUGUAAAAGGAGUAAGAUCAGAUAAUGCUCCGGAGUUGAGAUUUGAAUCAUUAUACAGAGAUAAAGGUAUUAUCUCCUAUCACUCAUGUCCUGAAACACCUCAGCAGAACUCAGUUGUGGAAAGGAAGCAUCAGCAUAUCCUCAAUGUUGCCAGAGCUUUAAUGUUUAAGUCAUGUGUUCCUUUGGAUCUUUGGGGAGAUUGUAUACUCUCUGCAGUCUUUCUGAUCAACCGCCUACCAAGUGAGUUUCUGUCAAACAAAUCACCUUUUGAACUGCUUCAUUUUAAGGUACCAGACUACUCUCUUCUUAAAGUUUUUGGCUGCUUAUGCUACCAAUCUACAAGUACUCAGCAACGCCAUAAAUUUGAGCCGAGAGCAAAAGCCUGUGUUUUCCUUGGAUAUCCUGCAGGAUAUAAGGGAUAUAAAUUGCUUGAUUUGGAGACCAACAGUAUUAAUAUCUCAAGACAUGUUGUGUUCUUUGAAUCAGUUUUCCCAUUUGCUGAUAAGAAAAGCAUACCUCAUGAUAUUUUUGAGAUGCCAGAGACUUCUAAUGCUUCAUUACAGUCAUUGGAUCUUGCAACCACUAAUGAUGAUGUAGUUCACACCAAGAGAAAAUCUAGACCUCCUGGACACCUUCAAGAUUAUUACUGCAAUGCAGUUCCUGAUGUUCAGAAAGAUGUGAGGUACCCCAUUUCAGCAUAUAUUAAUUAUGCUCAACUUUCUGAGGAGUUUACAGCCUACAUAUGUGCAGUGAAUAAGUAUCCAGAACCGACUACUUAUGCACAGGCUAAAAAGAUUAAAGAAUGGUUAGAUGCAAUGGAAAUUGAGAUUGAUGCAUUGGAAUCAACCGAUACAUGGACAGUAUGUUCUUUACCUGAAGGAAAGAAGCCUAUUGGUUGUAAAUGGGUUUUUAAGGUAAAGUUGAAUGCUGAUGGAAGUUUGGAAAGAUUCAAGGCAAGGCUAGUGGCCAAAGGAUAUACACAAAAAGAAGGGAUAGACUAUAUAGAUACUUUUUCUCCAGUGGCUAAAAUGACAACAGUCAAGACAUUACUUUCUGUUGCAGCUGCAAAAGAAUGGAGUCUACAUCAGCUUGAUAUCUCAAAUGCAUUCCUUAAUGGAGAUUUAAGUGAAGAGAUUUAUAUGAGCUUACCUCCGGGAUAUUCAAUGAAACAGGGAGGGUCUUUACCUGACAAUGCGGUUUUAAAAUUACAGAAGUCUCUCUACGGCUUAAAACAAGCGUCAAGACAAUGGUACUUGAAGUUCAGUACAACACUAAUGAACCUUGGCUUUAAGAAGUCGCAGGCUGAUCAUACUCUAUUCAUCCGUAUGACUGGUAGUGUUUACAUUGCUCUAUUAGUAUACGUAGAUGACAUUGUUAUUGCUGGGAAUGAUGAUGCUGCUAUAGAGGAAUUGAAGAAAGAUUUAGCAAAGGCUUUUAAACUUAGAGACCUUGGUCCUUUGAAAUAUUUUUUAGGCCUGGAAAUUGCUAGAUCUAGUAAAGGUAUCUCUGUAUGUCAGAGAAAGUAUACCUUGGAAUUGUUAGAAGACACUGGUUUGCUAGGCUGUCGUCCUUCUUCUAUUCCCAUGGAACCAAGUCUGAAACUGACGCUCCAUAGUGAUGAAUCAGAGUUGCCAAAUCCAGAGAUGUAUAGACGGCUAGUAGGAAAGUUGAUGUAUUUGACGAUCACUAGACCUGAUAUCACUUAUGCGGUGAAUAGGCUCUGUCAAUUUACUUCAGCUCCUAAAGCAUCUCACAUGAAAGCAGCUCAUAAAGUGGUUCAUUACCUCAAAGGCACAAUUGGUUUGGGUUUGUUCUACUCCUCCAAGUCUGAUUUGUGUCUACAAGCAUUUACUGAUGCAGACUGGAACUCAGACAAGGAUUCUAGACGCUCUACUUCAGGGUAUUGCAUGUUUCUUGGAAACUCCUUGAUCUCUUGGAAAUCUAAAAAGCAGGAUGUUGCUUCUGCUUCAUCUGCUGAAUCUGAAUACAGGGCUAUGGCAAUGGGAAGUAAAGAGAUUGCUUGGCUUGUUAAAUUGCUCAACGAGUUUCAGGUACCUCAAUCCAAACCUGUUCCUCUGUUUUGUGAUUCAACAGCAGCUAUACACAUUGCAAACAAUGCUGUCUUCCAUGAACGGACGAAGCACGUCGAGAAUGAUUGUCACAUCACACGAGAUCGGAUUGAACAAGGCUUGCUGAAGACACUGCAUGUUACAACCACAAGUCAGCUUGCGGAUAUUUUGACAAAGCCUUUGUUCCCUGCUCUCUUUAAUUCUCUGUUAAGCAAGAUGAGCCUUCUUUCCAUAUACGGCACAUCUUGAGGGAGGGUAUUAGUGUAUACAAUUGUUUGUAAACCGGAAUAAACCGGAACACCUCUACUAUAAAUAGAGGCUCUCUCUCUGUAACAAACUUUAACGGGAAUAACAGAGUUUUUCGUCAUCUUCUUCGUUUCUAUCACUAAUAUAUGAAAUAAAAUUACAUUUACGUUAUGCAUAAGUUUAUCCUUAUUUUAUUUUAUUUUUUUUGUCAAACAAGUUUAUCCUUAUAUAUUUGCGAUUUUUGCCCGUCCAUCUCUGGUAUUUGGCAGCGAAUUGUACCUGCUUCUCAGAGGAUCAUGUUCUUUCAAAAAUCAGUGCUGGAAUGGCUUUAUGGUAACCUUAAAGAUGAAACAGAGAGAGACGGAGUCCCAUGGUCCACAUUAUUUGCCAUGGCUUUGUGGUGGGCAUGGAAAUGGAGAUGUGGAGAGGUGUUUGGUGGUAUGGGCCGGUGUCGGGAUAGAAUUAAAUUUAUCAGACAAUUGGCCAAGGAUGUCUAUGAAGCCCACAUGGUGAUUUUGGGAGAGAAACAUACGGUGGCAAGGGAAGUAAGACUUGUGGGUUGGAAACUGCCGCAUGUGGGAUGGACGAAGCUUAACACGGACGGUGCGUCUCAUGGCAAUCCGGGGUUAGCAACGGCAGGGGGAGUUUUACGUGAUGGUGAGGGAAACUGGAAAGGUGGUUUCGCGUUGAAUAUAGGUAUAUGUUCAGCACCUCUAGCGGAAUUGUGGGGAGUUUACUACGGGAUGUAUAUUGCGUGGGAGAGAGGAGUCACGCGAUUAGAGCUUGAAGUGGAUUCCGAGAUUGUGGUGGGUUUUCUAAGGACAGGGAUUAGCGAUGCUCAUCCGAUGUCAUUCCUAGUACGUUUGUGCUAUGGCUUUAUUUCGAGGGACUGGAUAGUCCGGAUUUCUCACGUGUAUAGAGAGGCUAAUCGUCUUGCCGAUGGGUUAGCUAACUAUGCGUUUACACUUCCUUUAGGUUUUCAUUAUUUUGAUGUUAGUCCUGAGGUUGUUCGUUCUAUUUUGUUAGAGGAUAUUAGUGGGUCUACGCGCCCACGAAGUGUUCGUUUGUAAGUUUUUUUUAAUUUAGUUUUAAUAAAGAAGGGAGACAUUGUCUCCCUCAGAUUACCAAAAAAAAUAUAUUUGCGAUUUUAAUGUAAAAUUUAAUAAUAAAUGAAAUAAUGUGAGUGUUGAAAUCUAUACAUUAUAUAUUUAUAUUGUUUAAUUUAUAAAUUAACAAAAACACAAUGCAUUUCGUAUAAAUUAAAUUUUUCGAGGAAAAACUUUUUUGUUAAUUCGAGAUAUUUAAUUUUGCUAAGUUUAGUUAAUAAGAAUAAAUAUUAUAUAGAAUUAAAAGUGUUCGGCAAGAAAGAUAGUAAAAAUAAAUAAAUUAAAAAUAAAAUUAAAAAAUGAAAAUAUUGUAGGAGUGAAAAAUAAGCACUAAUGACUCUAUUUUAAUGGCUCUGAUUGGAAGCAACCAAACGUCUCUUUUGGAAACGAGAUGCUCAAGUGGCUAACAAUCAUCAAAGGGGUUAGAGAAAACGUUUGAUAUUAGUGGUUGAAGAAGGUGUUUUGGAUAAGAGUUCAAAACAAUAGUUCAAUAGUAUAGAGGUUGCAGAGCUUCUCUUUUGUCUUUUUGUUAUUUAUUUUUAACAUUGGAUUCCUUUAUUUGACAAAGGAAGAUAAGAGUAGUGAAUAAUGCAAUUGCUUUUACCUAUGCUUUUUCAGAAACUUAUUUAGCUUUUCAUAAAAGAAAAAAAUUAUUGAGAUGAAAUAGCAACAAAUAUUUUUCUCUCCAUCUCGUAUAUAUGUAUGUGCUUCGUACAACGCCAUUGUUAUGAUACAUGUUUUUUUCGAACAAAAAAAAACAAACAGUUUCAUUUUGUUCCAAAAAUAGUUGUUAUUUACAAUCAUUUUAAGUCCAUUAACUGAAAGGUAAGUAUUGUUUAAAGUUUUCCUAAUUCUUUUAGUGUACAUAAAAUACUUAUAUACGAUUAAAAUCUGAAGUUUUGUGCAAAACUAAAUCGAGAUUAAGUUUGGUGCCAUUAGAAGUUUCAGUGCCUCCACGAGGAAAAUAUUAUCUUGUUGACUUGGGAAAUCAAAGAGAAGAGUUGAGAUACCAUUUAGAACAAUUUUAAAGUAGUCCACCCCAAAAAAUAAGGAAGAAUUGUUCAACAUAUGGCAUGUCUCGCUACGUUCAGUAAUCGAACGAACGUUUGAAAUUUGGAAAAAAAAAAUGGCGGGUUGUCAAAGAACUACCAAAGUACAAUCCUGAAACACAAAAGCGACUAGUAUUUAUCACAUUGGGUCUUCAUAAUUUCAUUCAACGUUCAAAUAUUUUGGAUGAUGAUUUAUUGAUAAUAAGUGAAAAUGAAGAUAGAGAUAGACAACACGAAGCUGAUGAAAAUGAUAUCAAUGAGUUAGAAGAAGCUGAAGCAACAUCAGAUGGAGCAUAUAUGGCAACAAUUCGUAAUCAAAUUGCUCAUAUGUUAUGGGCUGAUCAUAGAAAAAGAUGUAAAUUAUUAUGGUAAUGUAAUUCUUUAAUAUUAUAAAAAUUCUCAUAUUAUGAAUUAGAUAAUGAUUUAUUAAUUCAUACUUCAUUAUUAAUAAUUUAUUUUAAUUUAUAAUAUUAAAUUCAUUUUUAUAAUUUAUUUAAAAUUUUUUAAUUUAUUAUUAUUAUUGAAGUGACAAAAGUAAAAUUUUUAUCAUUAUGAAAAUUCUCAUUUAACUAUAGUAAUAUUUUGUAUUAUGAUAUAAUAAUGAUUCAUUACUCCAUAUUUUUUUUAACUACACUAAUUUCAUUUUUUAAUAAUUUACUAUAACUUAUACUAUUCAACCGCUAUAAUGUUACCAAUAAUAUCAAACUAAAUAUUUAAAUGUUUUCUUUAACCGUUUUUUCUUCAAUCACUAUAAAAUUUUUUUUUUUCUCAUGAGUAAAUUUUAUUCAAUAAACCAUUUGUUACAAGGCCACGUAAAGCCUGUCCUGACAUACAUUACAGAUUACGAAAAAAACACAAGCCCAUGAAGAGCCCAAUAAUGCAUCGCUUAUAGAAGAAGAUUGUGUCAAGUAAGACCACCCAAAGAAACGUGUCAAUACACGUGUAAGAUGAGCAAACGAAAUAUUUCCAUCGUCAUCCUUCACCAUCGGAGUCAUCGAUUUUUCCGGCGAAGGAAACCACCGCCAAUAGUAAAUCGUUGGUAGAAUCAUCUUUUUUUCACCAGCAAUAGCAAAACAGCAACAUGAAGAUAUGUCGGAACAUUUAAACUCAAACAAUUUGCAAGAAUUAUCAAUAGAUUGAGAUCACACAAAUAGAGAAUAAACUUCAAUUAAUCGAGAAACUGUUGAUUAAAACCAACUGAAGCUCUAAAAACAUGUAACAACUAAAGGCAAUUGAAAUUUGCUGAGAAAUUUGAUGAGCCGGAAAGGAGACACUUUUGAGCGAAAAUCGCCCCAAACGCCACCACCACCAGUACAGAUCCGGAGAGUAGAAAACUAAAACCAUCAACGGUAUCAACGACACCGUGAUCGAAACUAAGAAAAAGAAACCGGGCAACACCGGAGAGAAACUAAGCUAGCCAUCGUCGCGAGAACCGAUCGAUGCCAGAUGAGAAGCCAUCCAAUUCGCUAUAUGAGCCGAGUUUUGAUGGCCAAAAAAAGAACAAACCGUUCUCUCUCUCUAAAAGAUUUUAGAGAGAUAAGAGAGAGCUCUGAAAUCACUAUAAAUUUCUUAACCGUCUCGUUUAAACAUUGUUACUAUUCG
rnacentral:lncRNA from 1 species